AGAGCUAUAACACUCACUGUGAAGGUCUGCAGCUUUGCUCCUGAGCUAGCUAGACCACGAACCCACCAGCAGGAAAAAACUCCGAACACAUUUGAGCAUCAGAAGGAACAAACUCUGGACACGCCGCCUUUAAGAACUGUGAUAUUCACUGCGACAGUCCGCGGCUUCAUUCUUGAAGUCAGACCAAGAACCCACCAAUUCCGGACAUAGGAAUACUAGCAGGGACUUUCUGGACAUUCGGCUCGGAGUUGGUUAGUUGUUCAGGAUGGUUCAAAGGUUUUGGCAGAGUUCAAAGACUGGGAAGCAAAGUUCAGCCAUGUUGGGCCUUUGGGCUCAUAGAUGAGCAAGGGUACCCCAAUAUGAGGGCUCAGCAAAUUCUGGAACUUAUCAGUUCUGAAGACCUUUAGAGGAGAAGGAGACAAGUAAAAGGGUUGGCCUUGCGUAUUGGCAAUGAAACAGGCUAUUUUUGACAUUGAGUUGUCCAGCAUUCUCUAAGGUAUGUAGUCCUGGAGGGCGCUGCUUAAUGAACCAGAAGUCCUGCCUCUUAAGUACCUCACCAGCUCAAAUGUGUGCAUGUCACCUUGGCGUGAAUCGGAGCAGGCGCUGGUGGAUACCGUUUGGAGGCAUGCCAGCAAGGAGCUCCUUGUGUAGCCUGCCUCUGGAGCCUCAAGUUCAACUUCCAUAGGGCCAAAAGGGGAGUCGGGCUGGGCAGAAGCUCCUGAGAACCAAAGCAAAUGGUCUGAGAGUCUGAGAGUGUAGUGGAGGUAACGUGUUCGUGUCCUCUCUGGCUGCAUCACCCCAAGUCCUUGCAGACUCAAGUAGCCUAUUUGCAAGUUUAAAUAGUUUGAGUCCUGGCCGGUAACAAGAAUACUCUACAGUGGCCCAGAGUCAGGGAUAUAGAGUGGCGACUACUUGGCAGAACUGGAGCUUGCUCAGAUGAAAAGAUAAAUUGUACUGGUUAAACGAAGAUCAAGUGCAGGGUCUGGACUUUGUUUCUAUCUUUCAUGUGGACUCUAUAAGCACCUACACACAGCAUUCUAGAAACACUGCUCCCAUCCCUCCUGUCUCAUGUCAUCCUCCCAAUUCCGGGAGUUGGGGGGCAUACUCUUUCCCUGUGUCAUGUGAGAAAUUCCUUUCUCAUGGGAAGCAGGUGGCAUUCCUGGACUCUCCUUGGCCUGGCCGUUGGUAAGCACAGGAAUUCAAGGUGUCUGAAUCUCUUGUCAAAGGUGGGCUGUAAGGCUCCAGAAGAGGAGGACAGAAAGUGCCUGCAGAGCUCCUGCCUGAGGCCUUUGGAUGGGCCCUGCUGGCUUGCCGUGUGUGUGUGUGUGUGUGUGUGUGUGUGUGUGUGUGUGUGGUGUCGUGCUUAUUUGCCCCAAAUGAGGCAAGAGAGCAGUGAUCAGGUGUCUCCCCAGCAUCUAGUUUCAUGAAGACAAUAGAAGUGGGUCGGAUCAGGCCUGCUGCCAUGCUUGGCUUGCCCAUGUCUCCUAGGAUUGGCUGCCUGGUGGCCAUCCCUUUGCCAUCCCCUUGACUGCCCUGUGAAUGAUGUCCACUCUGAGACCCCAGGCCACUCAGAAAAACUGAAGAUUCUCAAGUUCAGGUGCAGUUAGGGGGCAGGUCCUGGUGGUGGGGGAGCUUUGAUGUUCUGCAGUUGGAGGAUCCUCUUUCAGAAUAGUAAUGCAAUUUGUGAAUUAAUAAAAUUAGGUAUGCAAGAGGAUAUGUAGAAAAGAAAAAUCACAAGCUACACAAUUUUUAAGUUGACAAAACUACGAACAUCACAAAAUAAUAUGAUAUUUUAAAUUAAU
rnacentral:lncRNA from 1 species